rnacentral:misc_RNA from 1 species
CUCGUUAAUAAGUGAUUUAUUACCUGGAGGACCUUGUCGGCCAAUUGCACCGCGAGGACCAGGAUAACCAGGAGAACCACUAACGCCCUCUGGUCCUGGAAGACCGGGAAGUCCUUCCAUUCCUGGUUCUCCUUUUCUUCCGGGAAUUCCGUCUUCUCCUUGUUCGCCUAUCAUGCCCUGAACUCCAGGGAAACCCCUGAAACCUUCUGGACCUACACACGAAGAUGAAAUAUGAAAACUUGUUUGCGAUUCGCGAUAAACAGUGAUCCUGUCGAUAGUGUAGAUUUUUAUAAAUAUUCAUUUAAUUUAAAUCAAUUUUUAGACAACUU